rnacentral:rRNA from 1 species
UAAGGAAUAUUGGUCAAUGGGCGAGAGCCUGAACCAGCCAUGCCGCGUGCAGGAAGACGGCCUUAUGGGUUGUAAACUGCUUUUGUCGGGGAAUAAACCUAUCUACGCGUAGAUAGCUGAAGGUACCCGAAGAAUAAGCAUCGGCUAACCCCGUGCCAGCAGCCGCGGUAAUACGGAGGAUGCAAGCGUUAUACGGAUUCAUUGGGUUUAAAGGGUGCGCAGGCGGAUUGGUAAGUAAGUGGUGAAAUUCUAGUGCUUAACAUUAGAGGUUCCAUUGAUACUGUCAGUCUGGAGUAUAGUUGGAGUGGGCGUAAUGUGUCAUGUAGCGGUGAAAUGCUUAGAUAUGAGACAGAACAGCGAUCGCGAAGGCAGCUCACUAAGCUAAAACUGACGCUCAUGCCCGCAAGCGUGGGGAUCAGACA